AACGAACGCUGGCGGCGCGCCUAACACAUGCAAGUCGAACGAGAAUCCGGGGCAACCCGGUAGUAAAGUGGCAAACGGGUGAGGAAUACAUGGGUAACCUACCCUUGAGAAGGGAAUAACCCGCCGAAAGGUGAGCUAACACCCUAUACGCUAUCUUUUUUUCGAAAAGGAUAGGAAAGCCGGGUCGAGGACCUGGUACUCAAGGAGGGGCUCAUGUCCUAUCAGCUUGUUGGUGGGGUAACGGCCUACCAAGGCUACGACGGGUAGCUGGUCUGAGAGGAUGAUCAGCCACACUGGCACUGAGAUACGGGCCAGACUCCUACGGGAGGCAGCAGUGACGGAAUAUUGCGCAAUGGGCGAAAGCCUGACGCAGCGACGCCGCGUGGGGGAUGAAGGUUUUCGGAUUGUAAACCCCUUUCAUGAGGAAAGAUAAAGUGGGUAACCACUUAGACGGUACCUCAAGAAGAAGCCACGGCUAACUUCGUGCCAGC
rnacentral:rRNA from 1 species